rnacentral:rRNA from 1 species
UACAGAGGCCUCAAGCGUUGUUCGGAUUCAUUGGGCGUAAAGGGUGCGUAGGUGGCUUGGUAAGUUGAAGGUGAAAUCUCGGGGCUUAACUCCGAAACUGCCUUCAAUACUGCUGAGCUCGAAGAUUGUAGAGGAGAAUGGAAUUCACGGUGUAGCAGUGAAAUGCGUAGAUAUCGUGAGGAAGACCAGUGGCGAAGGCGAUUCUCUGGGCAAUUCCUGACACUGAGGCACGAAGGCUAGGGGAGCAAACGGG